CGGACGGGUGAGUAAUGUCUGGGAAACUGCCCGAUGGAGGGGGAUAACUACUGGAAACGGUAGCUAAUACCGCAUAACGUCGCAAGACCAAAGAGGGGGACCUUAGGGCCUCUUGCCAUCGGAUGUGCCCAGAUGGGAUUAGCUAGUAGGUGGGGUAACGGCUCACCUAGGCGACGAUCCCUAGCUGGUCUGAGAGGAUGACCAGCCACACUGGAACUGAGACACGGCCCAG
rnacentral:rRNA from 1 species